UGAGUACGAGACGCUACGGCGUCGAAGCAGUCUAUGUCAUACUUCCAAGAAAAGCUUGCACUGUCAUAAACAAAUAAUGCCUGUACCAUAACCGACACAGGUGGGUAGGUAGAGUAUACUAAGGGGCGCGAGAUAACUCUCUCUAAGGAACUCGGCAAAAUGACUCCGUAACUUCGGGAGAAGGAGUGCCUUAUUCUUAAGGUUGCAAUAACAAGAUCCAAGCAACUGUUUAUCAAAAACACAGGUCUCCGCUAAGUCGUAAGACGAUGUACGGGGGCUGACGCCUGCCCAGUGCCAGAAGGUUAAAGAAGUUGGUUAGCAUUCUCGAAGCUGAUAACUGAAGCCCUGGUGAACGGCGGCCGUAACAAUAACGGUCCUAAGGUAGCGAAAUUCCUUGUCGGGUAAGUUCCGACCCGCACGAAAGGCGUAAUGAUUUGGAUACUGUCUCGGAGAGGGGCUCGGUGAAAUAGACUUGUCUGUGAAGAUGCGGACUACCUGCACCUGGACAGAAAGACCCUAUGAAGCUUUACUGUAACUUGAAAUUGAAAUUGGACUUUAUUUGCGCAGUAUAGGUGGGAGGCGUUGAGAAUAUUCUUGCGGGAAUAUUGGAGCCAUCAGUGAGAUACCACUCUUGUAAUGUUAGAUUUCUAACUUUGAAUCAUUAUCUGGUCAAAGGACAGUUUCAGGCGGGCAGUUUGACUGGGGCGGUCGCCUCCUAAAUGGUAACGGAGGCGCACAAAGGUUUCCUCUGAACGGGUAGAAAUCGUAUCUAGAGUGUAAAGGCAUAAGGAAGCUUGACUGUGAGACCUACAAGUCGAGCAGGGACGAAAGUCGGUCUUAGUGAUCUGACGGUGCUGAGUGGAAAGGCCGUCACUCAACGGAUAAAAGUUACUCUAAGGAUAACAGGCUGAUCUCCCCCAAGAGUUCACAUCGACGGGGAGGUUUGGCACCUCGAUGUCGGCUCAUCGCAUCCUGGGGCGGUAGUACGUCCCAAGGGUUGGGCUGUUCGCCCAUGAAAGCGGUACGCGAGCUGGGUUCAGAGCGUCGUGAGACAGUUCGGUCCAUAUCCGGUGUAGGCGUUAGAAUAUUGAGAGGAGCCUUCUUUAGUACGAGAGGACCGAGAAGGACAUACCUCUGGUGUACCAGUUAUCGUGCCAACGGUAAACGCUGGGUAGCUAUGUAUGGAGAGGAUAACCGCUGAAAGCAUCUAAGUGGGAAGCCCACCUCAAGAUAAGUAUUC
rnacentral:rRNA from 1 species